rnacentral:rRNA from 1 species
CCCGUCACGUCAUGAAAGCCGGCAACACCUGAAGUCGCUGGGCUGACUCUCUUUCGAGAGAGAGGCAGGCGCCGAGGGUGGGGCGGGUAAUUGGGACG